CGAGUAUUAUGUUGAAGAAAAUAUUGGCACAGGAUGGAUAUUCUCAAAUGUUUUGAAUCUUUUCUGCUUAGCUAACGAAGUGUUUCGUCAAUGGCUUUCGUUACAGAUAUGAAUAAUAAAGCAAACAUUGAAGACUUGGGCAAAGUCAUCGUCGGCCUCAACUAGAGCUAACAUCCAGUCUAUAAAUAGCUUUGCAUCGAUCCAUGCAAGAUAUCUCACCCCUCAACAAAGAAAAGAAAAAUCAGUGCAGGAUCUAGUGAAAGGACUCAAGCUCGUGAUAGAUAAUUAUUUUCUUUGAGUCCUUCCAUUAGAUCCCGCAAUGAUUUUUGAUACUACCUCCUUCUAUGCAUCAGUUUUGGUUCUCAAUCUCUGAAGAAAGCAUAGAAAGUUAAACUUUGAGGGCCAUGAAGAGCGCAUGCCAUCCAGAAAUAGAAAAUACAGGGAAAAAAAGGAGGAAAGAACUAAGGCCAAGCGACUAAAUCUGUGAUGCUACAUGACUCCAUGAGAUAGCUUUGCUCGUUGAGCAAUCAGCCACAUGAUUGGCUCAUCUCAAAACGAGCACAAACUUCAUAUCAGCAGAACAAGCACUAAGAUUGAGCUGCAGUUAGCAUUAACUUCAAGAGAACCCGGUAGGAACUAGUUCCACUCUCUAAAUUUUUCCUAGUCUGUUUAUUCUAUUUUUAUUUUAUUUUCUGUUAAAUGAAAGUCAGACCAAGUGAUUUUACAGUGCCGGGUGGAAGAGCUGUCGCUCAACAGAUAAAAGUUGCUCUAGGAAGAACAGAUUGAUCUUCCCUUCGGCACAGCGACAUGGGAACGUAAAACGAAAAGAGAGGGAUUGGCUCUCGCUUUCGGCAUAGCAGGCCCUUGGCGGAGUCCCAUAAUGAAAGCUCGAACCUGAGAUACAAGCUUGUAUAUAUCAGUAGGCACUCUCCUAAUUGUUGUCCCACCAUAAUUGCUUCUGAAGAUUGUUAAUAACAUUCUUAUCCUGUCAACGUUGUUCAAAUUCCAGGACUCAACAGUACUCUUGGCAUAUCUUUGGCUCGCAUCGAUUAUGCACUAUAUGGUGGCCUAAACCCACUCCACACUCACCCACAUGCCACGGAAAUCCUUUUCGUCCUGGAAGGAAGUCUUUAUGUUGGUUUUGUCACAUCCAACCCGGAGAAUCACCUGAUCACGAAAGUCUUAAACCCUGGAGAUGUUUUUGUUUUCCCAGUUGGACUCAUUCACUUCCAAUUCAAUGUGGGAAAAACCAAAGCAGUUGCGUUUGCCGGUUUAAGCAGUUAAAAUCUUGGUGUAAUUACCAUUGCAAACGCAUGCAGUCUUUGGAUCACAACAGCCAAUUAAUCCUGAUGUUCUCACCAAGGCCUUCCAAGUGGACAAGAGUGUUGUGAACUAUCUUCAAAAGCAAUUCUUGUUGAAAAUAAAGUUAAACUAAGAUUUCUUGCAUUCAGAGCCAUCCGGACUUCCAGGUUUAGUCGGCGUAAUUAAUUUCCUAGUUAGAAUAAAUUUCUUAUUCAGUUCAAUUUCUUAUUUUUCUAGGAAUUUAAACCUAUAAAUAGACUUGUAAUUAGAGUUAUAAAAAACCAGAGGAUAGCAGAGACAAAUUCAGAGAAAUUUUUUUAAUAAAGUAUACCUUCAUUUCAA